CCUACGGGAGACUGCAGUGGGGAAUAUUGGGCAAUGGGCGCAAGCCUGACCCAGCAACGCCGCGUGAAGGAAGAAGGCUUUCGGGUUGUAAACUUCUUUUGUCAGGGAAGAGUAGAAGACGGUACCUGACGAAUAAGCCACGGCUAACUACGUGCCAGCAGCCGCGGUAAUACGUAGGUGGCAAGCGUUGUCCGGACUUACUGGGUGUAAAGGGCGUGUAGCCGGGUUGACAAGUCAGAUGUGAAAUCCUGCGGCUUAACCGCAGAACUGCAUUUGAAACUGUUGAUCUUGAGUACUGGAGAGGUAGACGGAAUUCCUGGUGUAGCGGUGAAAUGCGUAGAUAUUAGGAGGAACACCAGUGGCGAAGGCGGUCUGCUGGACAGUAACUGACGGUGAGGCGCGAAAGCGUGGGGAGCAAACAGGAUUAGAUACCCCUGUAGUC
rnacentral:rRNA from 1 species